rnacentral:lncRNA from 1 species
GAAAUCCAAAUCAAUGUCUAAAACAUAACUAAACCCAGACUCUAAAUUUCUAUGAGGCAUCUGUCCUUUUAUUAGAUCGUCUUCAACGUUGGUAUAAAGGUUUAUUUUCGAUUCACUAAAUGACAAAAAACUCGCCGUAUUCUCGCUGCUAUUCUCAGUGGUUUUGGCCGCGUUACGGUGUUGAAUAAUUUUUUCCUUUGUUAUGCACUGCUCGUGCACCAAUUCUUGCGAUUUUGAUGGCGAUUUUACAGAUGAUUCAAUUUUCAAGCUAUUCGUUUCUACUUCACUUUUUAACCCUUCUACUGCGCCUUUCUGGAUAUAAGGAGGUGUGUCUGGCAGGAUGAGUUUCGUGCUCGAAAGGUCAGUGGUAGAAACGGCUUGCGGCCGAACAGUAGCACAAGAAGCUGUAGUACGUGCUUUUUCUAUAGUCUGUAAGAAAGUCUGAGACAUACCGUUGCUCCCCUUGUUGCUGCUGCUUAUUAGAGGGGUAAUUUGAUAACCAACAGAACGUUUCUUAUUUCCCCGGAGAGAAAUUUCUGGGGUUUGCUCCGGUAUUUCAAACCGAACGGGGUACGCGGCCUCAGUUCCUUGCAGGGAAGGGGACUCACGAUUCCUCAACGUUUCGCUGGAGUAUUUUUCAUGUUCCGUAAAAUGGCCAUGUGAGGCCCCUGGGGUACGAGGAGCUAACUGCGCGAGUGACCUCGGUUCGGAAGUCGUUUGACAAGUUAACUUUUUGCAUGACUCUUCAAUCGUGCCCGAGGAUAGCGAAUGGGUAAGAUUUGUGUGGAUGGCCGUCAAAACAUCGUGUCCAGAGUUCCGCCCUUCGGCACCGCCAACGGUACACACUCCAAGGUUGAUCUCCCGAGGUCUCUCCAGAUCUGUUGCCGGAGCGUAGAGGAGCUCGCUCACGAAGUACGACUCUGUACACGUUAACCUGAAGAAAUAAGAAAUGGAAAUAUUAAAGCCAGGUGCAGUGAAUAUUAUUAUUAUUAAAUAUAAGAACGAUGGGAAUGUUUAGCAAAUCACAAAAACAUCUCACACCUGCUUCUCAAGACAUGGCGGGAAAUCGUCACGUGCACAACUUUGUCUAUAAACUUUCCACCAGCUGCUACUUCACCUAGUUAUUCAACGUGAAUAUCCGAUCCUGGUUAUCAUAUCAAUCAUAUUUUUUAAUGAAACUUGAAAGCACCAAGAUAUACUAAGAAUUACUUCACUGACACUUUUUCUUUAUCUCUCCCUGAAGCACAAAAAACUAAGCCAAUUAAAUAGCAGUAAAAAAUUAUCCAAAGUGCGGGGUGUGUUCAGCAGUACCACAUCUUGAACUUCGGAUGCUUCAAUAAUGCUAACUAGGACACUUCAGUGAUGCUAACUAAGACACUUCAAUAAUGCUAACUACGAUGUCACACAAGGUCCAAAACAUUUCUUUAAAUAAUGUUGACUAAGCUGAUAAGUUAAUCAUAUCUUAAUGUAACAGGUAUAUUUUGAUGCUAAGGUGAUAAGUUAAUCAUAUCUUAAUGUAACAGGUAUAUUUUGAUGCUAAGGUGAUAAGUUAAUCAUAUCUUAAUGUAACGUAAUAACAGGUAUAUUUUGAUGUGAAAACGUUUCUUAGUUUUUUUUAAGCGCAAUGAUAGAUAAUGGGCUAUUUGAGCAUCGUCCACUGCAGAUAUCGAACCCCGCAUUUGAGCGUUAUAAGCCCCCAAGCUUACCUGGGUAAGGCUGUGAAAAGCAAGCUAUUAACAAUGCACUAGGGUUGAAAUAAGAGUUGGGUUUGUUUGUUUGUUUUAAAGAUAAGCACAAAGCUACCACGAGUAUCGAAACCCACUGUGCUACUGGGGGGGGGGAUAAGAGUUGGGAAUUAUUAGAACGAAAAAUACCUAAAUAUAUACCUAAACAGAGUUCAAAGAAGAUGCCGUUUUCAAACAAUAAACGUCAACUAUAUGAGCGUGUUGUAUGCUUUUAUCGGGAAGUGAGGAUUAAGUGACAUUGAGCCUAGAUUUAGAUAAAGAUAAGGAAACCUAUGAGUCUGUCAUAGGAUUAUGUGACGUUGAGCCCAGAUUUAGAUAGAGAGCAGGAAACCUAUAAGUUAGAAUUAGGUGACGUAGUGUCCAGAUUAGAUAAGGAUAAGGAAACAUGGGUUAAUAAUGGAAAGGUUAAUGUAUUAAUAUAUGCAUACAUACUGGUAUACUUAUAUUAACAGUUUACGUUACAGUAAGAUUAGGUUAAGCAUUGGGUAGCGACAAAACAUUACCCCAGCGCAAUCUUCUGGAAUCUUAAAAAGUCUAGAAAUAGGUUUAGCAUUCACAUAUUCCUGAAAUGAAUGUUCAUAUGAUGUAGUUUUAGCCAUAUGCAAUAUUCACUCUGAAUUUUGUUUAUUUUUUGUUGUUGUUAAGUGCAGAGCAAUACAAUGGGCUAUCUAUGUUGUGCCCACUACGUGCAUCGAAACCCGGUUUGUGGCGUUAUAAGCCUUCAGACUUACCGCUGAAGUAGAAGCACACUUAACGUGAAGGAACAAUACUGUUCAAAGCAGUUAUUUUAAAACAACCAUCUAAUACUCAAAUUAUGCUUGAUAAAAUUAAGUCAGUAUGUUAGAAGGUCGAAUACAUUUUAAAUCAAAUUUGGUCAAAAUAAUAAAUGAGUCAGUUCUGUAAAGAGACUACCGAUAAUAUGUAUGAAAACAUAUUUACAGGAUGUAAGUAAGCUUUGGUCUUCCUAUAGUAAUAUACAUAAAUUACCUUCAACGACCGUCUCUCAUUUUGUGUGUUCGACAUGUGUCUUAAUUACCCUAAAAAGAGUUUACAAAACUGUGCAAUGCGUUUGAUAGCACCAAAAUAUAUUUUUGGACAUUUUUUAAACAUUGACUCUUAUUGGUCAAAGAAUUGCAUGAUUUAAAUACAGUCUAUAACUGUACCUGUCCCACAGAUACGAGAGCUAGGCCUAUAACAUGGUGGUUUGCAGCCGCUAUACUGAAAAUGGAUGACGAGGCUUAGAGAGACCACACCGGUUUGAAACCAGGAUUGCAAGUGAAACAGACAGGGAAAAUUAUCGGUCCAAUGAUACUUCGUUCAACAUUCUACCUAUCUAGUGUAGUUAGCUGUUGAAGAUUGAUAGGUAUACACGUAGUAGAUAGAUGCCAUCUGCACUGUGCCAACCGCGAGUAUCGGAUCACAAUUUUCAGCGUUAUAUGCCCUCAAGCUUACCGCUGAACCAACGGGUGGCAAAGUUUGUUGUUGUUUCAGCAAAAUUCAACGCAAUGAGACAUAUUCACCGAGGGGGAAUCGAACCUCGGAUUUUAGCGUUGUAAAUCUGCAAACUUACCGUUGACCCACCAGGGGACAGAAGGCAAAGACUCAGUUUUCUACCGUGUUUUAAACUGAUAAAAAUAACUGUAGCAACACCUGUAAAUGUUAAACACUUUCAAAUGCGCUGCUAUUAUAGUGAACCAACAAUAACUCAUGAAAAAUUAGCAGUCAUUUUUACUUCUUUAUUUUUUAUCGAAUAAUACGUCUCGGCUUUAAACGUCUUUAUUAAGAACAAAGGAAGUAGGAAGGUUUAAUCUAAAUGAGAAAUAAGUCGGUUGGGAUUUGACGUACAACCUACAGCAACUGCAAUCAUGAUAGCUUUAUUACGAAUGCCGGCCAGUCAGAACGUACUAUUAUGUCUGCAACAUUACAUCACUUUGAGAGGGAAAGACAGGGGAACGGACGAGUGUGCAGUGCUUUAGGAAUACAAAAGUCGUCCCAGAGUAAGUCGUGUCAUGGGACCUGGUUGUGGUUGCUUAUUAAGGAAAGUGUAGCGCGGAAUAUAAGGGCCGGUUAAGGCUCCUGAAAAAAAAAAGUUUCGAGUUGAUGUUAUCUUCAAAACCUGUCAUUUAUAUCUGUCAUAAAUAGUUACUUCUGCAUGCUUGUCAUUCUUCAUUGUGCAUUUCUAGUCCAUGUUUACACGAUGCUGUGUAUAAAACUCCACAGUUAGGCCUGCUUUAGUGGGUAUUUCAUGGAUAGUAAAUUCCAAGCACGCAGACCAUCAUGGUAUUAGUCAUUCCUAUAUUUUAGCGUGUAUAUCAGAAAAAGAAAGAAAUUAUUUGAUAAUCCGCAGACCACCUCCCAAUUUUGUACAUAUUUAUAAGCCCACCAACCUAAUUAUGUAUAUUUAAUUACUAGCCAACUCACUUUUCAAGACUGUUCUGGAUGUUACAUAAUAAAUGAUGGGCAGAACUUUAUUAAAGGCUUCAUGAACACCAUUUUUUUCUUCAAAAAAAAAAAGAAAAGAAAAAAAAACAUUUCCAAGCUUAAGAGAAUGAAGAGCCAUUUAAUCUUGGAUUAUAAAUUUCUCUAGGAAGCUAUUGGAUGGCACACCAUCUUAACAAUUAUGUAUUUAAAACACCAUCUGAAGAAGACAAAGACAGGUAACUGAAGCCUUGAAACAGAUGUAAGUACGAUAAAAUCCAAUUAUUAAUCACAAUAUAUACAUUAUUGAAGGACAUUAUUCAAGAAUAAGACUGAAUGAUUUUCCAGGUGAUAUAGUUGUGUAAGUACAAGAUUUAUAUAUAUAUAUAUAUAUAUAUAUAAAUAUUACAUGAACACGUCCUCAGUGAUCCGACAUUUUCUGUGGAAUGAAAGCACGUAACCUGUUUAAAUUAACGUCAUUUCUUUCGUCACCAUAGUUAAAACUACCGCUUGAAACUUACUGGCUUUUCUUGCACGUGUUGUCAAUUAUUAUAUUCUGGAAAUGUUCUAAUUUAAAACUUAUAUUGCACAUUAACUGGAGAAAUUAGUAUUAUCUCAAAAUAUUUACAAUGUAACACAUUUUACAUUAUCAAACUUAAAAAGCUUUUUGAAUGUUUUGUUUAUGUUUAUUUGUAAUAAAGCACAAAGCUACACAUUGGGCUAUCUGUGCUCUGCUCACCACAGGUAUCGAAACCCGAUUUCUAGUGUUGUAAGUCCGCAGACAUACCGCUGUGCCACUGGGGGCUUUUUGAAGGGAUCAAGAUAGACAUAUCUUAAUAUUCGUAUGAAAUGUAUUAGAAACACAUUUGCAAAGUCUUGGGCUUAUUAAACCCGGAUUUCGUUGAUAUCACAAGUAAGCCUAUAUGUUACAACAACACGUAUUUAAUAUUUAAGUAGACGUUCAAGAACAUUAUAAUGAUUUUCAGAUAUUCGCUAUCACUAGUAUGUCUCUUGGCCAUUCCCGAAAACAUUCUCUUAAAUCUCAUACAUGGACGAAUGCUGUUUAGAUAACUUUUAAUUCAAAUAAAUAAUAUGUUUUAAUUACACGAGAAACCCGCAUCUUAAGGUCUUGAACUUUUACAACUAACAAAGCUAUUACUGUGCAGUUGGUGGAAGCCUGAAAAUAAACAGCUAAGUCGCACAAGAACACGUUCUGGACGGUUGUAAAACUUGAAAUUAGAGAUCAUCAUGAAAUUGUAAUAUGCCUAAGCUAACUAUGACAUAACCGGCAAAUGCGUACAAAACAAAACGAGCUCAUGUUAGGCUUAACGAUUAUAAAAAAAUAAAAAUAAAGAACAAAUAUUUCUUUUCAAUGAUGUAAUUAAUGGAUAGCAAGAAAAAAAAAAGGAACACUUUAUUGAAUAUUAAAUUCAUUGCUCAUGAUGUUACAUUAACGUGAUUUGUAUACACCCAUCUAGGAAGACGCAGUAUGAUGUAAUUAACUACAGCUACUACACUGGAUGUUGGAUAGAUGUUACUUAUCACCAAAAUGAUUUCCAAAGAAUUUAACCGGUUUGGUUUCAGUAAUGUAACAAACUACCGCAGGACAAGUACAAUUUCCGACUUUCUUUACUGAAUCAACUUAACUGUAUCCAGUUUUAGAAUACAUUGGCGGAGCAUAAUAAUAGAACGUAUGUAAAAAUAGGUUUAUUCGAACCUACAACAACAAGUUUUGGAGAUGAAGAUUUUGGUGACUGAGAUUCUGGUGUAAAGAAUAAAUAUAUUCUAUACAGAUGGAAAAGCAAGGUCAACACCCCCCCCCCCUACUAAAUGGUCAAUCAUUAAGGAAAACUGUUAUAGUUAACAGAGAAAUUAAUUUGCUUAAGUAAGCAGGCUCAGAUGGUGUGUGUGUGUGUUGUUGUUUUUUUUUCAAAGUUAAGAUGCAGCACUAACUUAAACUGGUAUUUUUCCUUAAUCAUUAUAAAUAUGAAAUCAGUAUUGUGUACAUGUAUCUAUACAUACGGACUUGUUAAUAUAUUUGUCUUAUUUAUUAAUCUAUUUAUCAAUAAUUUACAGCAUAAAUUAGCAAACGCUUUUACUUUGUUAAAACGUUUAUAGCUGGUCCUGCAAGUGCAUGUAGACUUUUAAACUUUUCAUUCUUAAGACGGUACGUUUGAUCACUAUGUAAUUAGAAAAUAUUUUUAUACUUAGCUAGAAGUGAAAGUAGAGAACGUGGCGACAAAGUACACUAAUAGGGUUUUUCUCAUAAGCAGACGCUGCUUUGGAAAAUAUAACCAUAUUUAACCAUAUUUCGUUCCUCAUUUAACAAAAUAGUAAUAACGAAAAAACCAUACGGUCGUAUUAAUUUGUUCGUGCUUGUCACUAUCUUGUAUCUGCGUGAGCAGAGCCAUAAAACUUAUCACCGUCCUAAAUACUUCACUUAUUUCACUUUUCAUAAUAAAAUCAUGUAUUACGAAACAUAAGCCUGAUGUAGAACAAAGGUUCAGUACAAAUUAAUUGACAAUUCCCAUGUCACUUAAGGCACAGGUCUAAGUAAUGAUUGAUUUACUGUGUAAUAAAGUAAACUGUUGUUUCCUCCACUACGGCGAAUUCUUUUUUUUUUUUUUGGGUACAUCAGGAAUUAUGAUCUUAAUUAACAUGACCUUCAUAUAGAGGUAAAUAUGUUGAACGUAAUAAUACAGGUAGUUAGUUUUGUUAUAUAAAUAUUCAAGAAAUUAUAAUUUAGAAUAAAUGUUCUUAUAUUUAGAUGGGUUAGUUGUAAGGGGUUGUGUAAGUGCAGAAGCUCAGACUGCACAUACAUAUUACUGAAGCAUAAGUUUCCAGCAAAUUAUAGGUAUAAUAUUAAUUAACGAUGAUAUACAAAAAUAAUUCUAGUGUAUACGUUUGACUGUAAGUAUACACAACUUAAUAAUAUUCAUUUUAAUGUACGACAUAUACAGUAUGAAUUAAUGCAUAUUUCAUAUCGACAAAACCACGGAAAUAAAGGUUGUCUUUUUGAAUACGAAA